AUACGGAGGAUGCAAGCGUUAUCCGGAUUUAUUGGGCUUAAAGGGUGCGUAGGCGGAUGAUUAAGCGUGAGGUGAAAUGCCACUGCUCAACAGUGGAACUGCCUCGCGAACUGGUUGUCUUGAAUGCUCCUGCCGUGGGAGGAAUGUGUGGUGUAGCGGUGAAAUGCAUAGAGAUCACGCAGAACACCGAUUGCGAAGGCAUCUCACGAAGGGGUGAUUGACGCUGAGGCACGAAAGCGUGGGGAUCAAACAGUAUUAGAUACCCUGGUAGUCCACGCAGUAAACGAAGAUAACUAACCGCUGGGUCGUAGUGAUUCAGUGGCCAAGCGAAAGCGAUAAGUUAUCCACCUGGGGAGUACGACCGCAAGGUUGAAACUCAAAGGAAUUGACGGGG
rnacentral:rRNA from 1 species